ensembl:lncRNA
GUGGCAGUGAAAAUUACCAACAAGCCAAGGAACAUGAAAUACAUCUAUGUUUUAAGUAGGCUACACUCACCGCGCAAACAUACUGACAACAUUUUUGUCCAAGACUGGACUAAAGUCCUUACUUGAAAAAACAGCUCCAUCUAACAAUGAUCUUUCUUCAGGCCUGGUCAUCCUGCACCUCUUCCAUUACAGGCUGGCUUUUAACUCCUUGUUAAUUAAGAGUCCAGAGUUACUGAGAUCAAUCAGCUGCUGGACUGGCAGGACCAGCUUGAAUGUUACAUCAUGGUCUCAGACCCUGCUAAGAUGUGUACAAUUAUACCAUGCUUCAGGGAGGCUUCGUGAGCGAGGUCACAGCACAGUUUAUCAUGGCACAGGCAACACAGGCCACUCACAUGUGCUGUCAAUGAGGAGUAUUUCACCGGGACAUAAAGAUGGAGAACCUUCUGAUCAACCCAGAAACGAUCGAGGUCAAACUGAUUGACUUUGGGUGUAGGGAUCUCCUGCAAGACUCUGGCUAUGAGCAAUGUUGUGUGAAAAUUUGUAGUAUUUUAAGCUUACGUCAAAGCAAAAUCUCAUUCCUUCGGGCACAUCAGAGUACUGCCCACCUGAGUACUACGUGGACAAACAGUACCAUAGGAAACCAACUAUUGUAUGGUCUCUGGGAAUGCUCUUGUUUUUGUUGGUCAAAGACAGAGCUGACUGGUUACAGCGUCUGGUUGAACAGUAAGAUGCCAUUCAUCACAACAAAGAAGACCAACUGUAAAUGAAAUCAUGCAAAACAAGGAAACAGAGGAACAGGUCACCAAACAGCCAC